rnacentral:rRNA from 1 species
UACGUAGGCGGAAGAUUAAGUCAGUGGUGAAAUCCUGCAGCUUAACUGUAGAACUGUCAUUGAUACUGGCUUUCUUGAAUAUAGUUGAGGUAGGCGGAAUGUGUAAUGUAGCGGUGAAAUGCUUAGAUAUUACACAGAACACCGAUUGCGAAGGCAGCUUACUAAGCUAUUAUUGACGCUGAGGCACGAAAGCGUGGGGAGCGAACAGGAUUAGAUACCCUGGUAGUCC